rnacentral:rRNA from 1 species
GCUUAACACAUGCAAGUCGAGGGGCAGCGGGGAGGAAGCUUGCUUUCUCCGCCGGCGACCGGCGCACGGGUGAGUAACACGUAUGCAACCUGCCCCUGUCAGGGGGACAACCCGCCGAAAGGCGGGCUAAACCCGCGUACAUGCCACCGGGGCAUCCCGGAGGCAGGAAAGGCUUCGGCCGGACAGGGAUGGGCAUGCGGCGCAUUAGGCAGUAGGCGGGGUAACGGCCCACCUAACCGACGAUGCGUAGGGGUUCUGAGAGGAAGGUCCCCCACACUGGUACUGAGACACGGACCAGACUCCUACGGGAGGCAGCAGUGAGGAAUAUUGGUCAAUGGUCGGGAGACUGAACCAGCCAAGCCGCGUGAGGGAUGAAGGUACAGAGUAUCGUAAACCUCUUUUGUCAGGGAACAAAGGCGGGGACGUGUCCCCGGAUGAGUGUACCUGAAGAAAAAGCAUCGGCUAACUCCGUGCCAGCAGCCGCGGUAAUACGGAGGAUGCGAGCGUUAUCCGGAUUUAUUGGGUUUAAAGGGUGCGCAGGCGGUCUGUUAAGUCAGCGGUCAAAGCCCGGGGCUCAACCCCGGCCCGCCGUUGAAACUGGCAGUCUCGAGUUGGAGAGAAGUAUGCGGAAUGCGCGGUGUAGCGGUGAAAUGCAUAGAUAUCGCGCAGAACUCCGAUUGCGAAGGCAGCAUGCCGGCUCCACACUGACGCUGAGGCACGAAAGCGUGGGUAUCGAACAGGAUUAGAUACCCUGGUAGUCCACGCAGUAAACGAUGAAUGCUGGCUGUCCGGGGGGGAUUGACCCCUGGGUGGCGAAGCGAAAGCGAUAAGCAUUCCACCUGGGGAGUACGCCGGCAACGGUGAAACUCAAAGGAAUUGACGGGGGCACGCACAAGCGGAGGAACAUGUGGUUUAAUUCGAUGAUACGCGAGGAACCUUACCCGGGCUCAAACGGGGAGUGACUCAGGCAGAGACGCCUGUUUCCCACGGGACACUCCCCGAGGUGCUGCAUGGUUGUCGUCAGCUCGUGCCGUGAGGUGUCGGCUUAAGUGCCAUAACGAGCGCAACCCCCGCGUGCAGUUGCUAACAGAUAACGCUGAGGACUCUGCACGGACUGCCGGCGCAAGCCGCGAGGAAGGCGGGGAUGACGUCAAAUCAGCACGGCCCUUACGUCCGGGGCGACACACGUGUUACAAUGGGUGGUACAGCGGGAAGCCAGGCGGCGACGCCGAGCGGAACCCGAAAUCCACUCUCAGUUCGGAUCGGAGUCUGCAACCCGACUCCGUGAAGCUGGAUUCGCUAGUAAUCGCGCAUCAGCCAUGGCGCGGUGAAUACGUUCCCGGGCCUUGUACACACCGCCCGUCAAGCCAUGGGAGCCGAGGGCGCUUGAAGUG